CUACUACUCCCUCCGUCCGGAAAUACUUGUCAUCAAAAUGAAUAAAAGGGGAUGUAUCUAGAUGUAUUUUAGUUCUAGAUACAUUCUUUUUUGUCCAUUUUGAUGAUAAGUAUUUUUGGACGGAGGGAGUAUCAU
rnacentral:pre_miRNA from 1 species